rnacentral:rRNA from 1 species
AUGCAGUCGACGGUGAACACGGAGCUUGCUCUGUGGGAUCAGUGGCGAACGGGUGAGUAACACGUGAGCAACCUGCCCCUGACUCUGGGAUAAGCGCUGGAAACGGCGUCUAAUACUGGAUAUGUGACGUGAUCGCAUGGUCUGCGUCUGGAAAGAAUUUCGGUUGGGGAUGGGCUCGCGGCCUAUCAGCUUGUUGGUGAGGUAAUGGCUCACCAAGGCGUCGACGGGUAGCCGGCCUGAGAGGGUGACCGGCCACACUGGGACUGAGACACGGCCCAGACUCCUACGGGAGGCAGCAGUGGGGAAUAUUGCACAAUGGGCGCAAGCCUGAUGCAGCAACGCCGCGUGAGGGACGACGGCCUUCGGGUUGUAAACCUCUUUUAGCAGGGAAGAAGCGAAAGUGACGGUACCUGCAGAAAAAGCGCCGGCUAACUACGUGCCAGCAGCCGCGGUAAUACGUAGGGCGCAAGCGUUAUCCGGAAUUAUUGGGCGUAAAGAGCUCGUAGGCGGUUUGUCGCGUCUGCUGUGAAAUCCGGAGGCUCAACCUCCGGCCUGCAGUGGGUACGGGCAGACUAGAGUGCGGUAGGGGAGAUUGGAAUUCCUGGUGUAGCGGUGGAAUGCGCAGAUAUCAGGAGGAACACCGAUGGCGAAGGCAGAUCUCUGGGCCGUAACUGACGCUGA